AUUGAACGCUGGCGGCACGCCUAACACAUGCAAGUCGAGCGGUAACAUGCUUAGUAGCAAUACUAAGUGAUGACGAGCGGCGGACGGGUGAGGAACACGUAGGAACCUGCCCAAAAGUGGGGGAUAACUAAGGGAAACUUUAGCUAAUACCGCAUAAUUCUCUGAGGAGAAAAGUUGCCCGUAAGGGUAGCGCUUUUGGAGGGGCCUGCGUCCGAUUAGUUAGUUGGUGAGGUAAUGGCUCACCAAGACGAUGAUCGGUAACUGGUCUGAGCGGGCGACCAGUCACACUGGGACUGAGACACGGCCCAGACUCCUACGGGAGGCAGCAGUGGGGAAUCUUGGACAGUGGGGGCAACCCUGAUCCAGCGAUGCCGCGUGGGUGAAGAAGGCCUUCGGGUUGUAAAGCCCUUUAGGCUGGGAAGAAGAGUGUGGGAUGAAUAAUCCUGUACUUUGACGGUACCAGCAGAAUAAGCACCGGCAAACUCUGUGCCAGCCGCCGCGGUAAAAC
rnacentral:rRNA from 1 species